UACGUAGGCAGCAAGCGUUGUUCGGAAUUACUGGGCGUAAAGCGAGUGUAGGUGGUGCUAUAAGUUUGGUGUGAAAUCUCCCGGCUCAACUGGGAGGGUGCGCCGAAGACUGUAGUGCUAGAGUGUGGGAGAGGUAGGCGGAAUUCCUGGUGUAGCGGUGAAAUGCGCAGAUAUCAGGGAGGGAACACCGGUGGCGAAAGGCGGGUCUCUGGGCCGAUACUGACGCUGGAGGAGCG
rnacentral:rRNA from 1 species